CCUUUCCCACACUAUCCCACAGAGCUCCAGCCCAGCCAGGCAGCUGCGGGGUGUCCACCUCCGUGGAAUAGUACCAUACCUUCUUUGGAGCAAAUGCAGACAUCGUGCAGGGAUGGAGAAGAAAAUGCACACAAUGGCGAGCUUUGGGGACUGCUGGGGGAAUCAGGGAGCAGGUGGCAACAAGGUGACAGGGGUAGCCUUGGAGCAGGGUGAAGAGCGUGCUGGCACAAGGAGCCAAGGGUUGUGUCGUGGCCGUUGCUGGAUGCUGGAAGUUCUAGCUGGAGCGUGCACUGUGACAUCACCGCCAGGAGUUCAGGCCCAGGCUGAAGUGGACAACGGAGACCAUAGAAUGAUGGAAUCCCUGGGUGCUUGGGCUUGGAAGGGACCCUAAAGACCAUCUUGUUCCAAGCGGAGCAAUCUUCCCCCAGAAUAGGUUGCUCAGAGCCCCGCUCCCAGCUGGCCUUGGAUGUUGCCAAGGAUGGAGCAUCCCCAGCCUCUGUGCACAGCCUGGGCCAGUGCCCCAGCAGCCUGAGUGGAAAAGAGCAGCUUCAUUAGAUCCAACUUCAAGCUCACUCCUGCAGUUGAAAGGCUUCUCCUCUCUGUGCCCAUCUUUCCUAGAGCUGCAGGGAGGCCUCCCCAGCCCCCUUCUCUUUCCAGGCUGAGCAUCCCCAGCCCCACACGGACAGCAGUCAGAUGCGUGGGGGUCAAGGCUAAAGGGUAGCAAAUGGCAUCAUGAAGUGGGAGAUGGAAGCUUUUGGAGAUUUGCCUCUAAAUGUAGAAAAGAAAGAAAAGUGGAGGGAGAAAUGGUGGGACUCUGGCUCUGUUCUAAGUGGGGAAUAUUUUCUUUUCUUCUUUUCUGUCGUGCUAACCCAAGUUUUGUUGUUUGAAAGGAGGUUUGGCAAAAUAUCCAUUGUCUUCUCCACU